rnacentral:rRNA from 1 species
AGCUCCAAUAGCGUAUAUUAACGUUGUUGCAGUUAAAAAGCUCGUAGUUGAAACUCGGCGUUUCGCCUGUCCGGGAAGAGUCGGGAUACCCCCAGGGUUUCUCUUCUAUGAACGGACUUUUACUGUGAACAAAUUAAAGUGCUCAGAGCAGGCUUUUGCUUGAAUAGUCUAGCAUGGAAUAAUAAAAAACGACUUCGUUCAUUUUAUUGGUUAUUGAAUGAGGUAAUGAUUAACAGGAACAGUUGGGGGCAUUCGUAUUUGAUAGCUAGAGGUAAAAUUCUAUGAUUUAUCAAGGACGAACUAAUGCGAAAGCAUUUGCCAAGGAUGUUUUCAUUA